UACGGAGGGUGCAAGCGUUAUCCGGAUUCACUGGGUUUAAAGGGUGCGUAGGCGGGUUGGUAAGUCAGUGGUGAAAUCUCCAGGCUUAACUUGGAAACUGCCAUUGAUACUAUCAAUCUUGAAUACCGUGGAGGUCAGCGGAAUAUGUCAUGUAGCGGUGAAAUGCUUAGAUAUGACAUAGAACACCAAUUGCGAAGGCAGCAGGCUACGCAUAUAUUGACGCUGAGGCACGAAAGCGUGGGGAUCAAACAGG
rnacentral:rRNA from 1 species